UUUUUUAAUCAUUAUUAUUUUUUUCCCGAACGAGCAACGUUGUGAACCUUGCCGAGCUCUGAUCCGAAUGAGUGCAGCGGUUUUCUUUUUGUAGGAAAAGAAGACAGAAGAGUUCUUCUCUGUGGUGGCUCCAGACUAGAGGAAGUCUCUACAGGUACAGCAGGUUCAGGUGUUUGCCGACGUGCAGUGUACAGUGAAUCUGGUAGGAGAUCCCUACCUGAACCCGCCGGCUCCCCUGGGCGCCCCGAAAGCCGCCGCGGUGCCGCCGACCCCGCAGGGCCAACAGAAGAGCCUUCUUCAGCAGCUACUGACUGAAUAAACCGCUUUUCGAGGAAUGUGACACACACA